CCCUGCCGACUGAAAAUGUCCCAUCCUUACUGUGAGACCAUCUUACUGCAUCAGGGGUAGUGUUGGUGCCUGCAAACUUCCCCGCUUCCUCCAACAGUUUGGCAACUCUUUCAAUUUCCCGAUCAUUUAGGGGCCUUCUGAAAGACAGGUACCAGCCUUGUUCUGUCCAGCAGUCAAUGAUUUUUGCCUCGUGGUUGUUACAUUACUACUAUAUUACUACUAUAUAUAAGAGAUAAUGUGAGGUUUUGGUAGUCCUCAUAUGAAGUAUUUUGUCAAUUUUAUCCUAUUUUAAGUUAUAAUUACUCUACAAGUUUUCACCCAUUACCCAUUUUGGUAAAUUUAAACAAUUAUAUAGGUUUAUUAAAUACUACCAAAGUGAUGAGUCAUAGAAAAGUGAUAGUGAUAUCAUUAAAAACUAUUUAUACAAUCAAAUUCAAAAUGAAUCUUCAAAUUCUAAAUUGAUCCAAAAAUUCAUUGUCUUUCUAUUUGUGGAAAUGUUUAUUAGUUUUAUCUCAAAUUAUCUUUUUUUUCUAACAAAUUGGUCAUGGACAAGUAAACUAAGUAUCGUGACAUUCCCUUUCUAACUUAAUACAUGCGUAAUUAUUAAAUUAAAAAUUAUUUUUUAUAUAUAGCUAAAAAAGUUUGAAAAGUUAAUUUUAAAAAAAUACAACUAUCCAAAUAGUAAUGAUAUUAAAUAAUUAACCACUAGAGUUGGCAUGGUGGUUCAGCGCCAUGUCCCUUAAGCAAGAGGUCGAGAGUUCGAUCCCCGCCUCUGGCGAAUGGAGCAAACUCUGUGGCCAGUUCCCUACCGCUUAGUGCGCUGACAGAGGAACGGAGGAUUAAUCUUACGGCUGCCGGCUGUGGGGAUACCUUGGGAAAUUAAAAAAAAAUGAUAUUAAAUAAUUGAAAAUGAGAGUGAUUCUUUUUCACACUUUAAAAAUGAAAUUUUUAACAAAAAAUAGGAUAGUCAAUAUUUUAUAUAAUUUAGGAUAAAAUGGUUAAUUUAAACAUGAAAUAUUAAAGCUUCAUACACGUUUAGGAAAUAUCAAUAUAAAUUUCCUAAAUAAAUAAAUUAAAUGAAGAAAAAAAUACGGCUUUUCUUAUUUUUAGGGAAAAGAAACAAUUAAAGUUUAAAGAAAAUCAUUAAUUUUUCAAUUUCGUUUGUAUGGUUUAAUAUGAAGGAACAUCUGCAAAAGUAUUUUGUUGAAUCAAGUCAUUUAAUUAUUUAAAUUAAAUUUUAUCUUUAUUUAUAGGUUAAUUUUAGUGAUGUUAUCAUAUAAUAAUUAGUAUAUUGAAUAUUUAUUAUAUUACUUUGAAUGUCAUCACAAACAAACAACAUACCCAGUAUAUUCCCACCAAGUGGGAUCUGGGGAGGGUAAGUGUACGCAGUCCAUACCACUACCUCAAAUGUGAGAUAGAGAGGUUGUUUCCGAUAGACCCCCGACUCAACAUAAAGCAAUCCAAGAUAAGAUAAGAAAUAGUAAUAGAGCAAGAUACAAUUGAAAUUAACAUAUUCAAUAAUACCAAAAGCAAGUUACUCCAAGUAAACACCAAAACAUACAACAUCCUAACUCAGACUAACCUUCUACCCUAAUUCGCCUCCUCCACAAAUUCCUAUCUAGGGUCAUGUCCUCGGUAAGUUAAAACUGCUCCAUGUCAUGUCUAAUCACCUCCUUCCAAUAUUUCUUCGUUCUACCUCUACCUCGCUUGAAACCAUUCCUAACCAACUCUCACACCUCCGCACUAAGGCAUCUGUGCUCCUCCGUAGCACAUGACCGAACUAUCUCAACCUUGCUCCCUUCAUCUUGUCUUUUAUCGAAGCCACUCUCACCUUAUCCCGAAUAACCUCAUUUAUAAUCAUAUCUUUUCUAGUACACCCACACAUCCACCGAAGCAUUCUCAUCUCUGCCACCUUCAUCUUCACCUUACCCCGAAUAUGAUGUCAUAAAAAUGAAAUAAAAAACAAGAAUCGCAACAAGACAAAAAAUAUUCACUCCUUCUCAUUUUACGUGACACGCUUUUCUUUUUAGUCCAUCCCAACAGAAAUGUUACCUUACUAUAAUUAGAAACAACAAGCUUUAAAAUUCCACUUUUACCCUUAAUGAAAUGAUUUACAACCACACAAAUAUGUAAGAACUUUUUACACCACAAGAUUCAAGACUCUUCUUUUUUUCUUAAAUAUUGUGCCACAUAAAAUGAGAUGGAGAAAGUAAAGUUUACAAAUACAAAGUUCAUUAUGGCUUAGGUAUAGGCUCAACACGAGCCUAAUGCGACUGGUAAGAUGAAUAAAUCAGAAACAUGAUUUUUAGUGGGGUCUGUAAGAGUCGGACAUCCCCACCAAAACCUAGUUCUCCUGCCAUCCCCUACAUUGAUUUGCAAAUUUGGUUCGAACUUAGACCAUAGGUUUCUAAUAUAUCGCCACACCCCUACUCCACAAGGUUCAGUACUUACAUUACUAUACCCAAACCCAUUCUCCCCAUAUUUGUAUUUAAUAAAGUCUUUCCACAGGGAUUGUCUCUCCUCAUUAUAUCUCCACAACCAUUUCACCAAUAAACAAUUAUUAUGCUUCAUACCCCCUCACCAAUAAACAAUUAUUAUGCUUCAUACCCCCUCACCAAUAAACAAUUAUUAUGCUUCAAAUCUCUAAUGCCCAUACCCCCUCUUUCUUUGUUACAUAACUAUCUCCCACUUGACCAAAUUGUAUCCUUUUCUUUGCCGUCAUGCCAAAGAAAAUCUCUCAACUUGUCCCGUUGUUUUACCGCCUUGGUAAGCAAGGGGAAAAAGGACAUAACAUAAGUUUGUUAGAGAGUCUAAGAAAGAGUUGAUAAGGACACGUCUGGCUCCAAGGGAAAAAUAUUGUGCCUUCCAUCUGGCCUUCUUUGGAGGUGUUUGGAGGCUAGAAGUGUACCUAUAGUAUAUGUUAAUGCGAUUAAGGAUAUGUACGAUGGAGCCAAGACUCGGGUUAGGGCUGGGGGAGGGGACUCAGAGCAUUUUCCCGUCUUGAUGGGGUUACAUCAAGGAUCGACGCUUAGUCCGUUUCUUUUUGCCUUGGUGAUGGAUGUUUUGAUGCGGCACAUUCAGGAUGAGGUGCCUCAUUGUUUGCUUUUUGCGGAUGAUAUAGUCUUGAUUGACGAGACUCGAAGUGGAGUUAAUGUUGAGUUGGAGGUUUGAAGGCAAACUCUUGAGUCGAAAGAGUUUAGGUUGAGUAGGUCCAAGACGAAAUAUUUGGAGUGUAAGCUCAGCGAGGUGUCUCAUGUGUCUGAAGUGGUUGUUAAGCUUGACACUCAUUCUAUCAGCAAGAGAGAUAGUUUUAAGUAUUUGGGGUCGAUGAUUCAAGAUAAUGGAGAGAUUGACGAGGACACUCAUCGGAUCGGGGUAGGGUGGAUAAAAUGGAGGCUCGCCUCUGGUAUCUUAUGUGAUAAAAAGGUACCUCCCAAACUUAAAAGCAAGUUUUACAAAGUGGUGGUUAGACCGACUUUGUUGUAUGGGGCGGAGUGUUGGCCUGUUAAAAAGACCCACAUCCAGAAGAUGAAGGUGGCAGAGAUGAGAAUGCUUUGGUGGAUGUGUGGGUGUACUAGAAAAGAUAUGAUUAGAAAUGAGGUUAUUCGGGAUAAGGUGGGAAUGGCUUCGGUGGAGGACAAGAUGAGGGAAGCGAGGUCGAGAUAGUUUGGUCUUGUGCUGCGGAGGAGCACGGAUGCCCCAGUGCGGAGGUGUGAGAGAUUGGCUAGGGAUGGUUUCAAGCGAGGUAGAGGUAGACCGAAGAAAUAUUGGAAAAAGGUGAUUAGACAUAAUAUGGAGCAGCUUCAGUUUAUCGAGGACAUGACCCUGGAUAGGAAGUUGUGGAGGAGGCGAAUUAGAGUAUAAGGCUAGUCUGAGUUAGGAUGUUGUAUGUUUUAGUGGUUACUUGGAGUAUCUUGCUUUUGGUAUUAUUGAGUAUGUUAAUUUCAGUGUUAUCUUGUUCUAUUACUAUUCUUUUUCUCAUCUUAGAUUACUUUAUUUUGAGCCGAGGGUCUAUCGGAAACAACCUCUCUAUCUCACUUUGAGCUAGUGGUAUGGACUGUGUACACUUGCUCUCCCGAGACCCCACUUGGUGGGAAUAUACUGGGUAUUCUGUUGUUGUUGUCUAAACCAGCUUUUGCGCAUGUCAACUAAUUCCAUAGGAUACCUGCCACCUCCCACCAGCAACAACAGAUACUAGGUAACUCUAUCCACCUAGAACAAAUGGAAAGAAAUCUCCUACUGUUUUUUCAACCGUUUAAUUGACCACUAGGCCACACUCUUGGGUACUACUACUGAGUAAUUCUAAUCAAAGCAACUCCGGUAUAAAUAGGAAAUAUAAUACACAGAUACCAUUGGCCAUCCUAUUUUUUGACAGGACACUUACUGAGAGUUCCAUUGGGUUGGAGGACACUGUUUAUCCACAACAAUCAAGAGUAAGUAUUUGAAAAAAGUGCCUACUGUUUGUGAGGAACAUCUGAAAGCCCCAUAGAAGAUCUAGUGAUCCCUUGAAUCUGUCUCUCUUACGAUCACUGAACAGUAAAGGAGCAAACAUGAAUGUCCAGCCAAUUACAAAAUUAAAGAGUCCCUCAGCCAUCUGGAAAAAAAAUCAGAGCGGAAUGUCAAAAAUGAGAUCCGCACAAUGAAUAAAUUUGUACUUUACAAAGUACUUACUGGAUGAAGCACUGGUGCCUCUAUCAAGUGGACGCCCCCUACUCUGCCAAAUGGUUCAUUGUUUAAAGUUCAAUAUUAAAUUUACGGAAAGACAAUUGAACUGCGUAUAUAAGUAACUGCUUAAUCUGCAAAAUUUUAUGCAUCUAAAACAAGUGAUCAAGUUUGACAUGCAGUGGAAAAUCAUAAAUUCAACACUGCCAGAGUAUAGAGAAAGGGAUCUGUCUAAAUUCUAUAACAAGAGAAGAUGUCAUGUCUCUUGACUAGAAAAAGAAUGGAAUGCAUAUUAAAUUUUGAAUGGCACAAGCAAACAAAUAAAAAAGAUGAGAAAGUUAAAAUAGAACACUCAAUUAGUCAACCUUUGAAAGAAAAAUAAUUAUGGUGGAGGGCCAAGACACUCUCAUUGUUUAACAAUCGAAUAUUUCCAGUUAGGAUAUGUUUCGACAGUGAGAAAUAUAGAUGACAAAAUUGGUUUAUUAAUGACUAAACCAAAGGGCAGUUGAGCAGUUAUCCGAGUUAAGAUUUCACCAGCAAGUAUAAAAAAAAUAAUAUAUGUUCAAGAGUGAAGCUAUUUGACUAUGAGUUCCAAGUAUGCCACUCAUUGCUAAAAUUAAUAAAAAGAAGCAACAAAAUUAGUACCCAUUGACCAGAAAAGCGUGCAAGCUAAUUACUAAAAAGUUUGCGUAAUACUAAUCUGGUAUAACUAAUAAGAAUUCAACAUACCAGCAUUCAGAAGAGGCAGGAUGAAGAAAAAAUUGAGGGACAGACCAACCAGAUCAUUGACUGUUUCUGAACUAAUUGCCCACACAGGAUCUCCCUGCAUUAUACAUCAAAAUAUUUUCAAGUAAUAAGAAGCUUGUGGAGGUGUAUCUGCAAAUUGAAGUUUAUGAACCACACACAUUCAUGUCUCACUUUUCAUGAGCAGCAAAUUGGGAGAGGUGAAGGAACUAAAUUCACACGUCUUGCACGCAUCUAUCCUUUUUUGUUUUUUCUGGAGAAAUGGUAACAUUUUAUCCUUCAGCAUUUAAGCAUAUGCUGAGGACCUUCAAAAGGAGAAAAACAAAGAAGUAAUAGUUACAAGGAUCCUAGGAAUUCCAGAAAUUGAUCUGAAUCCUCUAAUCCUAUCUAUUCACACCAAAAAGAAAGAGAUACAAUGCAAUUCCAUUUAACCUUUUGAAAGGAAUUGGAUAUAUCUUCAAAAUUCCUACUAUUUCUCUCCUUCCAGUGUCCACCAGGAUGCAGUGUGGGAUUAGAUUCCACCAAAUCUUUUGUCUCUCACUUCCUCCUCUUCUGAUUCAGCAGCUCAAUAAAUCUGCAGUAUGUUCUGGCAUAUUCCACUUCAAUUCUGAUAUGUUAAGGAACAUGGACCAAAUUUGAGUCGUGAAAGUUUCACGUGUCUUCCCACAUAAUGAGCACCAGGGGAGUAUGAUCUUUCCCUUCUUCCUCAAUACUUCAUGUGUCAAGCAAGCCUUUCUAGCAAACAAGCGACGCAUUUGACUUUUAUUGGUGCUGAGUUCCUCCAAAUCUUUCUCCAUAGAGAUUGAUUACUCUGAUUGUUGCUGCUUUGUAGGAUGCACUCCUCUUUAUAUGCCCUGCCGACUGAAAAUGUCCCAUCCUUACUGUGAGACCAUCUUACUGCAUCAGGGGUAGUGUUGGUGCCUGCAAACUUCCCCGCUUCCUCCAACAGUUUGGCAACUCUUUCAAUUUCCCGAUCAUUUAGGGGCCUUCUGAAAGACAGGUACCAGCCUUGUUCUGUCCAGCAGUCAAUGAUUUUUGCCUCGUGGUUGUUACAUUACUACUAUAUUACUACUAUAUAUAAGAGAUAAUGUGAGGUUUUGGUAGUCCUCAUAUGAAGUAUUUUGUCAAUUUUAUCCUAUUUUAAGUUAUAAUUACUCUACAAGUUUUCACCCAUUACCCAUUUUGGUAAAUUUAAACAAUUAUAUAGGUUUAUUAAAUACUACCAAAGUG
rnacentral:lncRNA from 1 species